CGCAGCCGCGGUAAUACGAAGGGUGCAAGCGUUACUCGGAAUUACUGGGCGUAAAGCGUGCGUAGGUGGUGGUUUAAGUCCGUUGUGAAAGCCCUGGGCUCAACCUGGGAAUUGCAGUGGAUACUGGGUCACUAGAGUGUGGUAGAGGAUAGUGGAAUUUCCGGUGUAGCAGUGAAAUGCGUAGAGAUCGGAAGGAACAUCUGUGGCGAAGGCGACUAUCUGGGCCAACACUGACACUGAGGCACGAAAGCGUGGGGAGCAAACAGGAUUAGAUACCCCCGUAGUCCCUGUCUCUUAUACA
rnacentral:rRNA from 1 species